CCCGUCAGAUGAACGCUGGCGGCAGGCUUAACACAUGCAAGUCGAGCGGAGAGAGGUAGCUUGCUACUGAUCUUAGCGGCGGACGGGUGAGUAAUGCUUAGGAAUCUGCCUAUUAGUGGGGGACAACAUUUCGAAAGGAAUGCUAAUACCGCAUACGUCCUACGGGAGAAAGCAGGGGAUCUUCGGACCUUGCGCUAAUAGAUGAGCCUAAGUCGGAUUAGCUAGUUGGUGGGGUAAAGGCCUACCAAGGCGACGAUCUGUAGCGGGUCUGAGAGGAUGAUCCGCCACACUGGGACUGAGACACGGCCCAGACUCCUACGGGAGGCAGCAGUGGGGAAUAUUGGACAAUGGGCGCAAGCCUGAUCCAGCCAUGCCGCGUGUGUGAAGAAGGCCUUAUGGUUGUAAAGCACUUUAAGCGAGGAGGAGGCUACUUUAGUUAAUACCUAGAGAUAGUGGACGUUACUCGCAGAAUAAGCACCGGCUAACUCUGUGCCAGCAGCCGCGGUAAUACAGAGGGUGCAAGCGUUAAUCGGAUUUACUGGGCGUAAAGCGCGCGUAGGCGGCUAAUUAAGUCAAAUGUGAAAUCCCCGAGCUUAACUUGGGAAUUGCAUUCGAUACUGGUUAGCUAGAGUGUGGGAGAGGAUGGUAGAAUUCCAGGUGUAGCGGUGAAAUGCGUAGAGAUCUGGAGGAAUACCGAUGGCGAAGGCAGCCAUCUGGCCUAACACUGACGCUGAGGUGCGAAAGCAUGGGGAGCAAACAGGAUUAGAUACCCUGGUAGUCCAUGCCGUAAACGAUGUCUACUAGCCGUUGGGGCCUUUGAGGCUUUAGUGGCGCAGCUAACGCGAUAAGUAGACCGCCUGGGGAGUACGGUCGCAAGACUAAAACUCAAAUGAAUUGACGGGGGCCCGCACAAGCGGUGGAGCAUGUGGUUUAAUUCGAUGCAACGCGAAGAACCUUACCUGGCCUUGACAUAGUAAGAACUUUCCAGAGAUGGAUUGGUGCCUUCGGGAACUUACAUACAGGUGCUGCAUGGCUGUCGUCAGCUCGUGUCGUGAGAUGUUGGGUUAAGUCCCGCAACGAGCGCAACCCUUUUCCUUAUUUGCCAGCGAGUAAUGUCGGGAACUUUAAGGAUACUGCCAGUGACAAACUGGAGGAAGGCGGGGACGACGUCAAGUCAUCAUGGCCCUUACGGCCAGGGCUACACACGUGCUACAAUGGUCGGUACAAAGGGUUGCUACCUAGCGAUAGGAUGCUAAUCUCAAAAAGCCGAUCGUAGUCCGGAUUGGAGUCUGCAACUCGACUCCAUGAAGUCGGAAUCGCUAGUAAUCGCGGAUCAGAAUGCCGCGGUGAAUACGUUCCCGGGCCUUGUACACACCGCCCGUCACACCAUGGGAGUUUGUUGCACCAGAAGUAGCUAGCCUAACUGCAAAGAGGGCGGUUACCACGGUGUGGCCGAUGACUGGGGUGAGUCGUACAGGGGGGUUCCCCUUAAAA
rnacentral:rRNA from 1 species